rnacentral:tRNA from 1 species
GGUAAUAGCUCAGCUGGAUAGAGCAUCUGCCUUCUAAGCAGAGGGUCCUAGGUUCGAAUCCUAGUUA